rnacentral:rRNA from 1 species
CACCCAUUUUUAACAAAAGGUCUUGGUCUUAAACCUAUUAUUGUCUAAGCUCCCUACUUAUACAUGCAUGCCUCAACAUAACAGUGAAACAGCCCACCACAAUCUACCUCAUUUGGAGCCGGUAUCAGGCAACCGCCCAUAACACCAAGCAACCAGCCACGCCCCCACGGGUCUACAGCAGUAAUUAAUAUUGGGCCAUAAGCGUAAGCUUGACCCAAUAACAGAGCCUUAAGAGCCGGUUAAUCUCGUGCCAGCGACCGCGGUUACACGACAGACUCAAGACAAUACCACCGGCGUAAAACACGACUAAAACCAUAAGUUCUCUUAUUAGAGACAAAACCACCCCAGGCCGUAAAAAGCCAUAAGCUGCACUAAGCAUAUACUCUAAUACCAAACAACUUCAACUCGUGAAAGCCAGGACACAAACUAAGAUUAGAUACCCUACUAUGCCUGGCCAUAACAAAACAAUAAAAUAACACAUUGUUCGCCAAAUAACUACGAGUGAAAACUUAAAAUUUAAAAGACUUGACGGUACUUCACACCAACCUAGAGGAGCCUGUCCAAUAAUCGAUAACCCACGAUUAACCCAACCCAC